rnacentral:rRNA from 1 species
CAAUAGCGUAUAUUAAAGCUGUUGCGGUUAAAAAGCUCGUAGUUGGAUUUCUGUCAAGGACAACUGGUCCGCCCCUCGGGUGAGCACAUAGUUUGGUCUUGGCAUCUUGUUGGAAACUGUUGCUGCACUUGGUUGUGUGGCGCAGUGUCCAGCACUUUCACUUUGAGGAAAUUGGAGUGUUUCAAGCAGGCACAUGCCUUUGGACACAGUAGCAUGGAAUAAUUAGAUUGGGCUUUUGCUCCAACUUGUCGGUUUCUGGUGCUGAGGUGAGAAUUAAUGGGGAUUGUUGGGGGCAUCCGAAUUUAGCCGUCAGAGGUGAAAUUCUUGGAUCUGCUAAAGACGGACAACUGCGAAAGCGUUUGCCCAGGAUGUUUUCAUUGA